AUUGAACGCUGGCGGCAGGCCUAACACAUGCAAGUCGAACGGUAACAGGAAGAUGCUUUCUUCUUUGCUGACGACGAGCGGGUGGGUGAGUCAUGUCUGAGAAACUCCCUGAUUUAGGAUGAUAACUACUGGAUACGGCAGCUAAUACCUCAUAACGUCGCAAGACCAAAGAGGGGGGCCUUCUUUCCUCUGGCCAUCAUAUGUGCCCAGCUGGUAUUAGCUAGUAGGUGGGGUAACGGCUCACCUGGUUGACGAUCGCUAGCUGGUCUGAGAGGAGGACAAGCCACACUAGAACUGAGACACGGUCAAGACUCCUACGGGAGGCCGCAGUGGGGAAUAUUGCACAAUGGGGGGAAGUCUGAUGCAGCCAUGCGGAGUGUAUGAAGACAGCGUUGGGGUUGUAAAGUACUUUCAGCGGGGAGGAAGCGAGUAAAGUUAAUACGUUGGCUCAUUGACGUUACCCGCAGAAGAAGCACCGGCUAACUACGUG
rnacentral:rRNA from 1 species